rnacentral:rRNA from 1 species
GACGAACGCUGGCGGCGUGCUUAACACAAGCAAGUCGAACGAUGAACCACUUCGGUGGGGAUUAGUGGCGAACGGGUGAGUAACACGUGGGCAAUCUGCCCUUCACUCUGGGACAAGCCCUGGAAACGGGGUCUAAUACCGGAUACAACACUCUCGGGCAUCCGAUGAGUGUGGAAAGCUCCGGCGGUGAAGGAUGAGCC